GACGGGGGAUGCAAGUGUUAUCCGGAAUCACUGGGCGUAAAGCGUCUGCAGGUGGUUUCCUAAGUCCACUGUUAAACCUUGAGGCUCAACCUCAAAUCUGCAUUGGAAACUAGGAGACUUGAGUAUAGUAGGGGUAGAGGGAAUUUCCAGUGGAGCGGUGAAAUGCGUAGAUAUUGGAAAGAACACCGAUGGCGAAGGCACUCUACUGGGCUAUUACUGACACUCAGAGACGAAAGCUAGGGGGAGCAAAAUGGG
rnacentral:rRNA from 1 species